rnacentral:rRNA from 1 species
UCUCUCUGAAUCUGCGAACGGCUCCGCACACCAGUUGUAAACCUAAGCGAGUCCCGCCUGGGAACCCCUUUCGGGGGGGGCCUGGGCAUUUAUAUGGAUAACCGUGGUAAUUCUAAGGCUAAUACAUGACUACGAACCCUGUCUGCCGGGCUUCCUUCCCCUCGGGGAGGGUCUGUUUUGGUGGCAGGGGGCGUGCGAAGUUUGGCAAGGUUACUCGGGAAAGAGCGCACGCCCGGACCAUCGCUAAGGGCUUGGUGUGGGAUCCAGGGUUAAACUCCUGGUGAACUGCCUUGCCUGGUGGCUCUCGCGACGUGCUUCUGACCUAUCAACUGGACGGCAGCGUAUGGGACAUGCCAUGGUUACAACGGGUACAGAGGAUAAGGGUUCGAUCCUGGAGAGUGGGCCUGAGAGAUU